rnacentral:lncRNA from 10 species
AAGUGAUCAGUAGUCAGUGUACACAAUUUGAGGUGUACUUUGAUGUAAGAGUAUUUCCAAAAAGUUGAGGAUAAAUGAAAUUUUCAUAAAUUAAUUUUGUCAGGCCUCUGAACCCAAGCCAAGCCAUCGCAUCCCCUGUCACAAUGUAUGGCACAUUGUAAGUGGCUAAGAAUGUUUGAAGAAUAAAUAAGCAACUACAUGAAUGCAAUAGAGUUAGCCAGCUGGACCCCACACUCACUCACUCACACAUCCCCUCCCACCAGGGGCUGAGUGUGCAGUCAUGGUGGCCCCAGGGUCCCGAAAUGGAAUUGUCAGUCAGAGGGUAUUUACUUUACUUUUGUUUAUAUUGGUCAUUAGCUUUCUGGAAGUCUGUGCCUACUUUUGCUGCCAUCAACUCUGUGUGCGAUGACGACUUCUUCACCAAUUUAUUCUUUGUACUCCAGGGGCAAGUCAGGAUCACACAGAGGAAUUUGUGGAGAAAAGUAUUUCAACUUACUCUCACAAAUAGGUGCUGUGUCUGGCUCAUUUCACUUAGCAUAAUGUUUUUAAAGUUUAUGCAUCUUGUAGCAUGUAUCAGAACUCUAUUCCUUUGUAUAGCUGAAGAAUAUUCCAUGGAAUGGAUAAGCUCCAUUUCAUUUAUGCUUUCUUUUAUUUUUUCUGGAAUUUCUAUAUUAUAUCCCUGUGUGUUUGUGUGUAGUGUGUUUGUGUGUAUAUAUGUGUCAUUUCAAGUCUGGUCCUUGAUGAAUUCUGGAGAAUUCAAUCUUGUCUUCAUUAUCCCUUUGGUGUUUUUUUUUUUUUUUUCCGGGGGUUGGGGGCAGGCUCCAAUCUACCAGUCAUCACUCCUUUUCCGACUCCCAUGUGUUUC